GCACACUCAAACACCCGGAGGUCCGGCCACCUCAGAGGGUGCACUGGGCACCCUGUGUUCCUACCACACGGCUAGGCUAGGCGCGCUGGCCACUCGGGUGGGCGUGCUGGGCUUCCCUGCGGCGGCAGUCUGGACCACAGCGUGCGACUCCCCUUCUAGCAGUAGGUGUUCUGACAUAUGACUGCUGCCCUUCUGCCCGAGAGUAGUUCAAACUGAAGGGAAGGAAACAUAUUUGCUUGCUCUGCCAUGUUGAACCACAAGUCUGAGAGAGGGUUCUGAACCCUGCACACAAGGCUCUCGUACAGUGAGGACAACAGGCCGCUAAAGGAUCUGCGCUACAAGCAUUUCCACAAGAAAU
rnacentral:lncRNA from 1 species